rnacentral:rRNA from 1 species
UACAGAGGUCUCAAGCGUUGUUCGGAUUCAUUGGGCGUAAAGGGUGCGUAGGUGGGUUGGUAAGUCCGUGGUGAAAUCUCCGAGCUUAACUCGGAAACUGCCGUGGAUACUAUCAAUCUUGAAUACUGUGGAGGUAAGCGGAAUAUGUCAUGUAGCGGUGAAAUGCUUAGAUAUGACAUAGAACACCGAUAGCGGAGGCAGCUUGCUACACAGUCAUUGACACUGAGGCACGAAAGCGUGGGGAUCAAACAGG